UUAAGAUUUCCUGCACACACGAGCCCCCCUUUCUUGAAGGAUGUGUGCUCCAGGUACAUUAGCUUUGAAGCCUGCCUAACAGUGUCUUUUGGAGCUGUCCUCCACUCAGUGCAUUGAUAGGUCAGCAUACAGAUAAAAGCCUGAGCAGUAAGAAAACCAGCUGCAAUAACCUGUACAGAAAAAAUGCACCAAAAGCUCUUCUCCGCAACCCCAGCCAUGACACCGAUAGAAAUUAACCCACGAGCACCAGCUUUGACUUCGGCUGGGUCUUACUUCACAUCAAAGUCUCGUCUGGAAUUUAUAAAGCUCACCGCUUUCCCUCCCUAGCCACAAAGUGCAGGAAGGCUUCUAUGAAGCCAUCAAUUAUAUGAAAAGACUGGUAAAAGGCAGGAAGUAAGUACAUACUUGCCUUCAAGCUAGCAAGUUUCUAGAUGUACAGAAUGCCCUCCCAGACAGUUAAUAAGAAGCAGCAGGUUCAAAUUCACACCUUGUUUAUUUCAUAAUAAUUUCCUCCAUGUAGAAAGUCUACCUCAGAUUACUGAUUUGAAAAAGUCAUAAUUACAGUCAAAUAAGCUUAUUCAAGGUUUAAAUUAUUUGAUUUUUGACUGCAUAAAUAGUUAUUCUUCAUGGAUCUGGUACUGGGCAUUAUCUAGCACAUAAAAGAUCUUAUUUUUCAGCUGCCUGCAAGGUGGUCAAAUUCUGAAGUGUUCAAGCAGAUCAUUGAUAAGGCAGACAUUUGCCUCCCUCUGAAUUCUAUCAUUCCUCUAGUAAGGGACAGCUCUUGUAUCAGGAAUGUGCCUUUUGAGAAACCAUGAAACUCUAUCCAAAUCUGAACAUGUUAAAGCCUCAAAAAAUAUAGCUUGCCUAACCUCCAUAGUGAAUAUAUAUGAUUUUUUGAGUAGUUAGAUCUCUAACAAAUCCAUUCUCACUAAGCAUUCUCGAGUCCCUCACAGCUGCUAAAGCUGCCUGCAGUGCAACUUCUUCACAUCACUGUGUUCCAACCUGAGGUUUCAGGAGCAAAACCAGACUUUCUCUACAGCAAUUUCCCCUCACCAGGAUGUGACCAGCAACUGGAACCAAGAAGGGGAAGUGUCUCUCCUUUGCACUCAAGGAGACCUUCAUGCUGAAGUUUUGAAGAAAGUGCCACAUAAUUCAUUUGGAGAGGACAAACACAGAAUCAACUGAAACAAUAGCAAAGCUUAGACUGGAAGAAACUCCGGAGGACUGGAGAAGAAAGAUCAGCUCACUAGAGAAGAAGACAGCUGAUGAGAGAAGCUUGGACUGACUGGAUAAUAUAAUUAAGAACUGCAUUAGGAGGAAUGGGCUUAUGCAAAGAAAUUUUAACAGUAGCUUUUCUUAAAUUUUGAGUAUUUGACUUAGCACCUUUAAUAGCGUUCUCGUACUCCAGUGUGGAUGUUUCGCUCAAGAUUCACUUGUUCAUUAAACCUGAAAUCUUAAAUCAUCCGAUCCAUUUUUCACUCAGUUUUUGGAAGACGUUAUUCUUCUGUGAACAUAAUCAGAUGAGAAGAAACUCGUGCCCUCAACAAUUUCCAGUCCAUAAACUCUUGCAGAAGAUGCUAAACAAAUAACAUCUGUGAGAAGUACUAUCAAGUCAGAGAUCCAGGCAUAGGACAGGGCCAAAAUCAGAGGUGAAAGAGGCUUUUGCAGAGCCUUGUCAUUUCACAAAGAUCUAUUUUCAGAUAUUUUGCUGGUGUGAACUGACAAAGAGGCCGGGUUCAUUUACUUCAGCAAAGUAUUUAACCCUUGAAGUUCGUCUGUAAGCCAAUAAACAGUUCCCAAAGACA